GCGAGUGUCGUUCAAUGGCAGGAUCUCUGAUUUCCAAUCAGAAGACGUGGGUUCGACUCCCGCCACUCGCUC
rnacentral:tRNA from 1 species